rnacentral:rRNA from 1 species
UACGUAGGGUGCAAGCGUUGUCCGGAAUUAUUGGGCGUAAAGAGCUCGUAGGCGGUUUGUCGCGUCUGCUGUGAAAACCCGGGGCUUAACCCUGGGCUUGCAGUGGAUACGGGCAGACUAGAGUUCGGUAGGGGAGACUGGAAUUCCUGGUGAAGCGGUGAAAUGCGCAGAUAUCAGGAGGAACACCGGUGGCGAAGGCGGGUCUCUGGGCCGAUACUGACGCUGAGGAGCGAAAGCGUGGGGAGCGAACAGG